rnacentral:misc_RNA from 1 species
AAAUGCGAUAAGUAAUGUGAAUUGCAGAAUUCAGUGAAUCAUCGAAUCUUUGAACGCACCUUGCGCUCCUUGGUAUUCCGAGGAGCAUGCCUGUUUGAGUGUCAUGAAAACCCUCAACCCUAGAUUGGUUAAAACCUUUCUUUGGUUUGGAUUUGGACGUUUGCCGAUGAUAAGUCGGCUCGUCUUAAAAGUAAUAGCUGGAUCUGUCUCGCGACAUGGUUUGACUUGGCGUAAUAAGUAUUUCGCUAAGGACAUCUUCGGAUGGCCGCGUUGCAGGACUAAAGACCGCUUUCUAAUCCAUUGAUCUUCGGAUUAAUACUCUUGACAUCUGGCCUCAAAUCAGGUAGGACUACCCGCUGAACUUAAGC